GUGCCAGAGUAUCUGCUUCCCUACAUCCUCAGCAAAACUUGAUGUGUUUCGAUAAAAUCAAGGUAGUCGACCUUGGCUAUCACGCUUAAAGCUGCACGAAUUACCACUUGUACAUAUUUGAUGAUAUUGUGCCAUUAUCAAAAUAUGAGUAAGGUGUGUACAUGAAGAGUUGAAAACACAUCACAAAACAGUGAACAUUUGGCAACAGGAAAGGAGAAAAGGAGACAUACAUUGGAAACCAACAUGCCACAUCUUGCCUAUCAGCUUAAGCUCUAAACUAAAUUGCCGCUACAACUUAGCCAAGAUAUUUUGUUGUUACAUGAACUUCUCAAGGAAAAUUUCUACAAGCGGAAGUUGAGAAAUUUGCAGUAUUUUCCCUCGAAUCAAAUGUCAAAGCAUAUCUGGAGAGACCCAAAACAACAAGGUUUCUUGAAGGCCAAUCUGCCUUGAACCACGCAUCGGAAUGAAACUAAAUUGAUUUCCUUAUAUCAAGUUGAGCAGUAGCUUGGUAAGCACGAUAGUACAACCUCAGUAGAUUGUAUAAUGACUGCAUUCUAAUCUCAGAAGCAAAUACAGUUGCAGGAGAAAAAAUCAAAUGGAGAUAAAGAAAAGACCUUAAGACUCCACGAUUUUGUAAAGGAGGAAAAUGUUGGAGAUUUUGACCUACACCCGUUGAAACAAAAUAUCACCUGGACCCGUUUUGAACCUCAUCAUACGUAUGACUCCUAAACUUUUUAUGUAAUCAGGUUAGCACGAAUGCAAAGCGUUUAACAUGUUCCGAUGCAAAACCAGAAGACGAAUACCAAUUACUCUUAACAUCCGCCCAUUAACAUACCGUAAAUGAUUUACUUGGGAAUCUAUUUCAAUAAAGUUCACCUUCAGAAAGUGGCAAUCAGAAAAGCUUCACGAAAACCAGACUUGUUUUCACAUCGAAACUGCUGUGCUUUUUCAUUUGGAGAAAUCACUGACUUGCUCUAAAUAGAGUGGGCUCUUUGUUGUUGUUAUUAUAAGCUUUCCUUGGCCUAGAAUUUUCCUGUUUAUUCACUAUGAGGAAGAGCGUGCUUUGUGUUUCUAACAUUGGAGUGGUGGUUCCUAACUCUGUAGGCGUAUUGAAGGUAGUGAUGUUCAUCAUAAUCACCACAAUGAGCUGUGACCCCCGAAGAGGUGAUCUCCAGUGGUCUGUAUCUGGGGCUUUCCGGAGAAGCACAACUGGGCACAGCUGUGCAUUAGAAUAAAUUAAGGGCUUCUUAAUUACAUUCAUAUUUUCUCCCUGAACUCUUAAGUCCAUCAUUUCUCACCAUUUUUGCCAUGAGGACCCUUUGCCCCUGCAAAACUUUUUAACAGAGACAAACAUAUUUGAGAGGAUAGUUAGAAAGUCAGUCUUUACGUAACUCAUGCCACCCACAGCCAGCUGCAUGGCCCUGGCUGAGUUGGUGAACUUUGUUUCCCUUAUUUGUAAAAGGGGGACAACAGGAUAGACCUGUAGGUUUAUAUGCAUGAUAACGAUUACGUACAAUGGGGUCUCUAAAUGCUUAGCAGUGUGCCUAGCACGUUAGGCGCUCAGUAGGUAUUCGUGGUGGUGAAGGGUGAUAUUUGGCAGCCGUUUGACCAAACCUUCAUCUGGCUCCUACCUACUGGAACCCACCAGUCAAAAGUCUUUACCCUUUGCUUUACAGUCUCUUGCUGUACAACUGAGAGAUCAGUCGGGCUAUUCAUUUUUUAAUAUGAGACUCUGAUGAUAUCACAAAGUCUUUGCUUUAAUUUUUUAUUCCAGUUUAACAACAGGAACAAAGAUAAAUGACAUUGUAUUCGCAGACAUUGGAUUUUUGAAAGAUUUGACUUUUGAACGUACGUGAAGUAAUUUCUGUAUAAAUAGAUUCUUGAGUGUUAUGCAUUUUCCGAAAGAAAUAGAGUGGUUCUGUUUGUUUGCUUACUUGCUUUGCCAUUUUUUAAAAAGAUUUGGAAGUACAUAUAUAAACAUCUUGAAUUGUGCUGCUUAAAAUAAGCAUUUGGGGCCAAAGAGCCCGGGAUAACAGUGACCAGCAUAAGAACAGGGUGAAUCUGGGGAAUUUCUGAGAACCUGGUGGCCCAGGAAUGUCUGAAUGUUCCAAACAGAGA